rnacentral:rRNA from 1 species
UACGUAGGUGGCAAGCGUUGUCCGGAUUUAUUGGGUUUAAAGGGUGCGUAGGCGGUCUUCUAAGUCAGUUGUGAAAUACUUCAGCUUAACUGGAGAGGUGCAAUUGAUACUGGAAGACUUGAGUACUGAUGAGGUAGGCGGAAUGGACGGUGUAGCGGUGAAAUGCUUAGAUAUCGUCCAGAACACCGAUAGCGAAGGCAGCUUACUAAGGAGUAACUGACGCUGAGGCGCGAAAGUGUGGGGAUCAAACAGG